rnacentral:rRNA from 1 species
AACGAACGCUGGCGGCGCGUUUUAAGCAUGCAAGUCGAACGGUAGGCGGGGGCAGCUCCGCUGAGAGUGGCGCACGGGUGAGUAACACGUAGGUGAUCUACCCUGGGAUUGGGGAUAGCCCAUGGAAACAUGGGGUAAUACCGAAUGAGCUCUUUUGGUCAUGGCCGAAAGAGGAAAGGCGCGGGUGCGCCGACCUGGGAUGAGCCUGCGGCCUAUUAGCUAGUUGGCGGGGUAAAGGCCCACCAAGGCGACGACGGGUAGCCGGCCUGAGAGGGUGAACGGCCACACUGGGACUGAGAUACGGCCCAGACUCCUACGGGAGGCAGCAGCUAAGAAUCUUCCGCAAUGGGGGAAACCCUGACGGAGCGACGCCGCGUGGAUGAUGAAGGCCGAAAGGUUGUAAAAUCCUUUUCUCUGUGAAGAAUAAGUGAGGCAGGAAAUAGCCGCAUGAUGACGUUAGCAGAGGAAUAAGCCCCGGCUAACUACGCGCCAGCAGCCGCGGUAA